UGCAUGUCUAAGUACAUGCCGUAUUAAGGCGAAACCGCGAAUGGCUCAUUAAAUCAGUUAUGGUUCCUUGGAUCGUACCUUACUACUUGGAUAACUGUGGCAAUUCUAGAGCUAAUACAUGCAGCAGAGCUCCGACCCUCAGGGGACGAGCGCUUUUAUUAGACCAAAACCAAUCGGACCUCGUGUCCGUCUCUUGUGGUGACUCUGUAUAACUUUGGGCUGAUCGCACGGGCCCGUCCCGGCGACGUAUCUUUCAAGUGUCUGCCUUAUCAACUUUCGAUGGUAGGUUACGCGCCUACCAUGGUCGUAACGGGUAACGGGGAAUCAGGGUUCGAUUCCGGAGAGGGAGCCUGAGAAACGGCUACCACAUCCAAGGAAGGCAGCAGGCGCGCAAAUUACCCACUCCCAGAACGGGGAGGUAGUGACGAAAAAUAACAAUACGGGACUCUUUUGAGACCCCGUAAUUGGAAUGAGUACACUUUAAAUCCUUUAACGAGGAUCCAUUAGAGGGCAAGUCUGGUGCCAGCAGCCGCGGUAAUUCCAGCUCUAAUAGCGUAUAUUAAAGUUGUUGCGGUUAAAAAGCUCGUAGUUGGAUCUCAGUUCCAGACGGGUGGUCCUCCUUACGGUGGCUACUGCCUGUUCUGAACAGCCAGCCGGUUUCUCUUGAUGAUCUUCACCGGUUGUCUUGGGUGACCGGCAAGUUUACUUUGAAAAAAUUAGAGUGCUCAAAGCAGGCGUGACGCCUGAAUAAUGGUGCAUGGAAUAAUGGAAUAGGACCUCGGUUCUAUUUUGUUGGUUUUCGGAACACGAGGUA
rnacentral:rRNA from 1 species